rnacentral:rRNA from 1 species
GACGAACGCUGGCGGCGUGCUUAACACAUGCAAGUCGAACGGAAAGGCCCUGCUUUUGUGGGGUGCUCGAGUGGCGAACGGGUGAGUAACACGUGAGUAACCUGCCCUUGACUUUGGGAUAACUUCAGGAAACUGGGGCUAAUACCGGAUAGGAGCUCCUGCUGCAUGGUGGGGGUUGGAAAGUUUCGGCGGUUGGGGAUGGACUCGCGGCGUAUCAGCUUGUUGGUGGGGUAGUGGCUUACCAAGGCUUUGACGGGUAGCCGGCCUGAGAGGGUGAGCGGCCACGUUGGGACUGGGAUACGGCCCGGACUCCUACGGUAGGCAGCGGUGGGGUAUGUUGCACAGUGGGCGGAAGCCUAAUGCAACAACGCCACGUGGGGGAUGACGGGCUUCGGGUUGUAAACCGCUUUCGCCUGUGACGAGGCGUGAGUGACGGUAAUGGGUAAAGAAGCACCGGCUAACUACGUG